AUGAUGGCACACUUGCCCCAAAGAGAAGGAAAUCUCGGUGCUGAUGGGCCAGCUGAAGUGCAGGUGAGCUUUUUCAGGGAAGGGUGGGAUUACAUUCUGGACUCUAGAUUAAUACUGCUCCUGAGAGGCAAUUUGCUAAAUCCUACUGAUUUAUUUCUUUUUUUUUUUUUUCUUUUUCAUGUUGUAGUGUCCAGUCUACCUCUUACCGAACAUCUACAAAAAUGAAUCUUCUUGCUGUAUCACCCAGCAACACUGUGUUUUGGGAGCCGGGCCUUUCCUCUUUAACAUAAUCCCAUUCCCCAUUUUGUAGCAAAUCAGUCUGCUCCUCCUCUAGUAACUAAAAGUCAACAAAUACCUGCCUCAAGCCCCAGGUUUCCCAUCUUCUCCCGGAGGUCUCCUAGCAUUGGUUUGGUUAGCAAUUUCCUGCCACAGCCACCUACAUCUUGAUUAUUUGGUCAGUCUUUCGGGGAUUUCAUUUCAGAGCCCCUUCGAAAAAAACUGCAGCCCAACUGAUCCCAGGGGCCCGGUGAACUUUCAGUUUUAUUUUUCCCUGGCGGUGUUAACGCCCAAACUUUUCACCUCCGAAGUUUUCAAAAAGGACUUUGACUCUAGCUCAUAUCCUACCAGCUCCAACGUCAGUUAAAAAAAAAAAAAACAAAAACAAAAAACCACUAAAACACCACUCUACAUGUAAAAGAAUCCUAUAUUUUUUCCUUAAGGAUACUUUUAAUGUCUCUGACAUUUAGUAUUUGUUUUUUGGAUAAAAAGUCAUUUUGGCAUAUUUAUCCUAGUGGGACUUAACAAUUCAUGAAAUGAUUCACUACUAAUAAACAAAAAAGGGAGGAGGGGGCCUCAUGGGUUAAUAGUUUCUUUCAUUGUAGAUGACCAGGAACUUUGACCAGCCCCUUCACUUCUCCAAGCUCUCUGAAAGUGGAGGGUUGAUUUUUUCUUUUGACCACCUCUGUCGCAUGCCGCCCAAGGGUGGCUGAUUCUACUGUUGAAUUAACCACCAAGCAUCCCCCCCAAACCCCGCCCCCAGCCACCACUUUCUCACAAUUCUACCCUUCCUUUUCCCCUCUCUUAAGA
rnacentral:lncRNA from 1 species